AUACGGAGGGUGCAAGCGUUACUCGGAAUCACUGGGCGUAAAGCGCGCGCAGGCGGUCUUUUAAGUUGGAUGUGAAAGCCUACAGCUCAACCGUAGAACUGCAUCCAAAACUAUUAGACUAGAGUGUGGGAGAGGAAGAUGGAAUUAGUUGUGUAGGGGUAAAAUCCGUAGAGAUAACUAGGAAUACCAAAAGCGAAGGCAAUCUUCUGGAACACUACUGACGCUGAGGCGCGAAAGCGUGGGGAGCAAACAGGAUUAGAAACCUUGUAGUCC
rnacentral:rRNA from 1 species